UUCAUUUAGGUUAUUCACAAAGGGUAACAUUUAGAGACUUAGGGCUCUGUUCAUUUGGGUUACUCACGUGGGGCUCUAUUCAUUUGGGUUACUCAUAAAAGGUAACAUUUGGAGACUUAGGGCUCUAUUCAUUUAGGUUACUCAUAAAGGGUAACAUUUGGAGACUUAGGUCUAUGUUCAUUUGGGUUAUCUAUAAAGGGUAACACUUGGAGACUUAGGACUCUGUUCAUCAGGUAUUGUUCACGGGAAUUAUUCAUCAGGUAUUGUUCACGGGAACUAUUCAUCGG
rnacentral:lncRNA from 1 species